GUCAAGAAUCUUCCCCAAUGGGCGAAAGCCUGAGGGAGCGACGCCGCGUGAAUGAUGAAACCCUUCGGGGUUUAAAGUUCUUUUCUCUGGGACGAACAAAUGACGGUACCAGAGGAAUAAGGGGCUGCUAACCUCGUGCCAGCAGCAGCGGUAAUACGAGGGCCCCGAGCGUUAUCCGGAUUUAUUGGGCGUAAAGCGUACGUAGGCGGUUUUUUAAGUUAUCAGUUAAAGCUCCCGGCUCAACCGGGAAAAAGCUGAUAAUACUGGGAAACUGGAGACUGGAAGAGGCAAUCGGAACUGCCGGUGUAGCGGUAGAAUGCGUUAAUAUCGGCAAGAACACCAAAUGCGAAGGCAGAUUGCUGGGACAGUUCUGACGCUAAGGUACGAAAGCGUGGGGAGCGAAUGGGAUUAGAAACCCUGGUAGUCC
rnacentral:rRNA from 1 species